rnacentral:misc_RNA from 1 species
UCUCCGUUGGUGAACCAGCGGAGGGAUCAUUACAGGACUCGCAAGACUCCUUCACCCUGUGAACCUCACUACAAGCACGUUGCUUCGGCGGGUGUCCCGGCGGGGGUUUUCCCUCGCCGGGGCGCACAGCCCGCCGGCAGCCUACUAUACUCUGUCUCUUUGCGUUGGCAUCUCGAGAAAAAACAAACAAGUUAAAACUUUCAACAACGGAUCUCUUGGUUCUGGCAUCGAUGAAGAACGCCGC